CAGAGGCCGCGCGAACGCAGGCCUCCACUGCCACAAAUUAUGACAUAGGCUCGACCACUUGGGCCGACCUUAGGCGGGCACCCCUCCUGAGUGCAAUGGAGGUCACCAACCUAGGCCAUGGACCUACUUGAUCAUCCAUUGACCCCGUCCAGGUAAGUGAGUAAUCAUGUGCCUUCUGUCCCUACUUAAUACACGCCUCUUCACCUUCUCUUUCUCUUCAAGCCGAUGUGGGACCAUGGACUAUAUAAUGAAGCCACCUUUUCUUUUCAUACCUUUUCUUUUCAUAUGUAUAAGGGUGUGAAUAGAUGUUAAUGAAGGUAUAUAUCUUCUGGAAUUUGUAAUCAGAGCUCAUUCUGCUUUCAUCUUUCACUCGGAUUUCAGAUCCAACUGUACGUUAAAACAAGAGUAAAAAGGGGCGAACACACACACAGGGAAUAUUUCAUCUCGGUGAUAAAGGCUUCUUGAUGAUAACUCAAAUUCAACAACAAUUUCUGCAUUAGGUAUUUAAUAGGGGACGAUGACGUCAUGGACAUGGAUGUAUGGAUGAACAGAAGAUGAAUGCUUGAGGGUUGAAUGGAAGGAAUGAGAGGAUCCCUUUUUUUAGAUAAAUGUUGAUGAAUCUGCAGUGUGAUAGAAGUGAUGUCCUUUUUUUACUUUUUUUGUGAAUAAAUAAUUGAAUUUCACAAAGUUUAGGUCCUUUUUUGCUUGAAUUCAAAUGACAUUGUUUUGU